AAUUUCCUUUUACUGCCCUUGUGAUAUUUAAGUAUUUUGAACACCAAGGAUAAACAAAAUGGAUUCAACAGCUUUUCAAUUCUCCGUGAUCUUCCGUGAAGCCUUUGAGAUGAAUGAUCACAGAUCAAAGCUCUUUAUCUGGUGGAAGCCCUCCAGUUUUCUUACUCUCCCAACUUUAAUCUCUUUUCCGGAGGAAGAGAUUCACCAGUAGAACAUGAAUGUGCAAGGAACAAAUAGAAAACCAAUUCACAAUCCAAAAUACUGCUAAAGCAGCAUUUGUUCCCUACUGGAAAACUGCAACAGACGUAGAGUAAAUCUAAAAAUCCUU